rnacentral:rRNA from 1 species
UGAGGAAUAUUGGUCAAUGGGCGUAAGCCUGAACCAGCCAUCCCGCGUGAAGGAAGAAGGCGCUAUGCGUCGUAAACUUCUUUUCCAGGAGAAGAAAACCCCCGACGUGUCGGGGCUUGCCGGUAUCUUGGGAAUAAGCAUCGGCUAACUCCGUGCCAGCAGCCGCGGUAAUACGGAGGAUGCGAGCGUUAUCCGGAUUUAUUGGGUUUAAAGGGUGCGUAGGCGGAUUGAUAAGUCAGCGGUGAAAACCUUCAGCUUAACUGGAGAAUUGCCGUUGAUACUGUUAGUCUUGAGGAUGGUCAAGGUAGGCGGAAUGUGUAAUGUAGCGGUGAAAUGCUUAGAUAUUACACAGAACACCGAUUGCGAAGGCAGCUUACUGGGCCAUAACUGACGCUGAGGCACGAAAGCGUGGGGAGCGAACA